UACGUAGGGUGCAAGCGUUAAUCGGAAUUACUGGGCGUAAAGCGUGCGCAGGCGGCUUUGCAAGACAGAUGUGAAAUCCCCGGGCUUAACCUGGGAACUGCAUUUGUGACUGCAUGGCUAGAGUGCGGCAGAGGGGGAUGGAAUUCCGCGUGUAGCAGUGAAAUGCGUAGAUAUGCGGAGGAACACCGAUGGCGAAGGCAAUCCCCUGGGCCUGCACUGACGCUCAUGCACGAAAGCGUGGGGAGCGAACAGG
rnacentral:rRNA from 1 species